UCUGUCGCGAGGCAGAAUCUGAAGGAAGCUCUAAGCAAAUGCUCGACUUGAGGUACACGAAUCCAAUUUGAGGCUACCAUAGUCGGAUGAAUCUCCAGUACAUGAUUAAAUCCAAAAACCGCCAAGUACUAUGGUAAGUAAACUUGGGCAAGUGUGGGCAGAAAGAUACGCUC
rfam:Gracilibacter sp. BRH_c7a BRHa_1005394, whole genome shotgun sequence.